ACUCUCCAGAUGCCUUACCCAUCAGACCUAAAAUCUGGUCUGAGUGGUUAUCAAAGGAGAAAAAAUAAAAUCAAAACUAACUUAAAUUAUCUUGUGAUACAUAAGCUAGUUUCAGACAAAA